AUGACACAAGUGAUGUGGCUCCAGUCAUGUUUCUUAAGCUACCGUGUUUAUACCAUCACUAGGCCAUAUAGUUUACCAAUAACCUUCUUAAGUACUUCCACUGAACCAUCAUUAUUGCCGACUAAUUUUUGUGUUCAUGGUUAUAUUUCAGAUAACCGGUUCAGAGAAAUGCAAACAAUGGUUGGGGGUUCUAAGAAGGAUGACCCUAAAUGGGAGCAUGACAGACACCAUGGUCCAGGAAAUAAGGGGGAAUCCCAUGGUGUCUACUAUGCUUUUAGAAAUCCUAUGCAGUCAGGGAGAUUCCUUCAGAUUUUUGCAUGA
rnacentral:rRNA from 1 species